UACGAAGGGGGCUAGCGUUGUUCGGAAUUACUGGGCGUAAAGCGCGCGCAGGCGGUCUUCCAAGUCAGUGGUGAAAGCCCGGAGCUCAACUCCGGAACUGCCAUUGAAACUGUAAGACUUGAGGAUGAGAGAGGUGAGUAGAAUUCCCAGUGUAGAGGUGAAAUUCGUAGAUAUUGGGAAGAACACCGGUGGCGAAGGCGGCUCACUGGCUCACAUCUGACGCUCAGGCGCGACAGCGUGGGGAUCAAACAGG
rnacentral:rRNA from 1 species